CCCUUAGAUGAUUUGGGCUGCACGCGCGCUACACUGACCCUAACAAUGAGCAACUGUCUGGUCUGAGAUGGCUGGGUAGCCUUUUCAACCCAUGUCAUGAUUGGGCUAGAUUUUUGUAAGUCUUGAUCUCUAACGAGGAAUCCCUAGUAUGUGUGAAUCAUCAAUCCAUGCAGAUUAUGUCCCUGCCCUUUGUACACACCGCCCGUCGCUCCUACUGAUUGGGUGAUCCGGUGAGCUGUUCGGCCAUAGCAAUGUUUCUUGAGCAGGGCAAUGAAUGUUUCGCAAACCUUGCCACUUAGAGGAAGGAGAAGUCGUAACA
rnacentral:rRNA from 1 species